rnacentral:rRNA from 1 species
UACGUAGGGUGCGAGCGUUAAUCGGAAUUACUGGGCGUAAAGCGUGCGCAGGCGGUUUUGUAAGCCAGAUGUGAAAUCCCCGGGCUCAACCUGGGAAUGGCAUUUGGGACUGCAAGGCUGGAGUGCGGCAGAGGAGACUGGAAUUCCUGGUGUAGCAGUGAAAUGCGUAGAUAUCAGGAGGAAUACCGAUGGCGAAGGCAGGUCUCUGGGCUGACACUGACGCUCAUGCACGAAAGCGUGGGGAACAAACAGG